rnacentral:tRNA from 1 species
GGCCCGUUGGUCAAGUGGUUAAGACACCGCCCUUUCACGGCGGUAACACGGGUUCGAAUCCCGUACGGGUCACCU